rnacentral:rRNA from 1 species
AUGGACAGCAGAAGGGAGUCCGCGGAGACCCUGAGGAACAAGUGCUCGGCGUGCUUCCGGCAGUACAACAAGAUGGAGCACCUUGUGGAGCACAUGAAGGUGUCGUACCACUCGGUCCACGAGCCCAAGUGCGGCGCCUGCAGGAAGCACUGCCGCUCCUUCGAGUCCCUCAGGGAGCACCUCAUAGGUCCAUUGCCCAAGGCCGAAUGCGCGCGCGUCUUCAGCGCCCGGGGCUGUGGCAUCUGCCUCAACAUCUUUGACAGCCCCGCCGCCGCCAGAUAUCACCGUCACGCCUGCCAAUACUCCCGCGCUGCUCCGAUGCCAAAGGGUGGCGCAGGUGGACGCGCGGUUGCCAUGGCCUGUAAGAUGGUCGGAGGAGGGAGCGACGGCUCCGUGGACCUCUGCGCAAGAGUGUGCCUUAUUGGAGAAGAUGAGAACAUCAUCUUCCAGACCUAUGUAAAACCUACAGCCCCUGUCACAAACUACAGGUAUGAGGUGACUGGGAUAAGGCCCGAGUACCUGAGGGACGCAAUGCCACUGAAACUUGUGCAGAGGAGGAUCCAGGACAUCCUGUGCAACGGGGAGCCGCUGUGGAAGAUACGGCCGAGGAGCUAUGGAAGGGCAAGGAUCCUUGUUGGGCAUAUCGUGGACCAUGACCUCGAGCGCCUAGGUUUGGACUACCCAGCAUUCAUGAUCAGGGACACCGCAAAGUACCCACCGCUGAUGAAAACCAGCAAGCUGAGCAAUACCCUGAAGUACCUCACACAAGCAUAUCUUGGGUAUGAUGUCCAUACUGGCAUUCAGGAUCCAUACGAGGACUGCGUCGCGGCGAUGAGACUAUAUAUCAGGAUGAGAUCACAAGCUCACCCGAGAGACUACGCCUCCGGUUCAGGGGAGGUGCAGAAUAACUACCCGGCCUGGAGGCAGAGGGAGAUGGAGAGGAUGAGCCCAGAAGAGCUCCUGGCACUUUCAGGAUCAGACUACUACUGCUGGUGCCUGGACCCCUAG